UACGUAGGUCGCAAGCGUUAUCCGGAUUCACUGGGCGUAAAGCGUCCGCAGCCGGUUUGGUAAGUCUGAUUUUAAAUACCCGGGCUCAACCUGGGAAAGGGAUCAGAUACUGCUGAACUAGAGUAAGAUAGAGGAUGGUAGAAUUUCCAGUGGAGGGGUGAAAUCCGUUGAUAUUGGAAGGAAUACCGAAAGCGAAGGCAGCCAUCUAUAUCUUUACUGACGGUCAGGGACGAAAGUCUGGGUAGCAAACGGG
rnacentral:rRNA from 1 species